UCCACGGUAUUGGGGUGCACACUUAAGCCCCAC
rnacentral:sRNA from 1 species